rnacentral:rRNA from 1 species
GUUCCUACGGGACGCAGCAGUGGGGAAUAUUGCACAAUGGAGGGAACUCUGAUGCAGCGACGCCGCGUGAGUGAAGAAGUAAUUCGUUAUGUAAAGCUCUAUCAGCAGGGAAGAAAGUGACGGUACCUGAAAAAGAAGCUCCGGCUAAAUACGUGCCAGCAGCCGCGGUAAUACGUAUGGAGCAAGCGUUAUCCGGAUUUACUGGGUGUAAAGGGUGCGUAGGUGGCAGGGCAAGUCAGAUGUGAAAGCCCGGGGCCCAACCCCGGUACUGCAUUUGAAACUGUCCGGCUGGAGUGCAGGAGAGG